rnacentral:rRNA from 1 species
GAAUUUUUCUCAAUGGGCGAAAGCCUGAAGGAGCGACGCCGCGUGGAGGAUGAAGGUCUUCGGAUUGUAAACUCCUGUCAUUGGUGAACAAAGCCAUCGGUUAACUGCCGUUUGGUCUGAUAGUAGCCGAAGAGGAAGGGACGGCUAACUCUGUGCCAGCAGCCGCGGUAAUACAGAGGUCCCAAGCGUUGUUCGGAUUCAUUGGGCGUACAGGGUGCGUAGGUGGCGGGGCAAGUCUGGUGUGAAAUCCCGGGGCUCAACCCCGGAACUGCACUGGAUACUGCUUUGCUAGAGUACUGGAGAGGGAACUGGAAUUUACGGUGUAGCAGUGAAAUGCGUAGAUAUCGUAAGGAAGACCAGUGGCGAAGGCGAGUUCCUGGACAGUUACUGACACUGAGGCACGAAGGCCAGGGGAGCAAACGG